UUGAGCUUGAUCCUGGCUCAGGACGAACGCUGGCGGCGUGCCUAAUACAUGCAAGUCGAGCGCAGGAAGCCGGCGGAUCCCUUCGGGGUGAAGCCGGUGGAAUGAGCGGCGGACGGGUGAGUAACACGUGGGCAACCUACCUUGUAGACUGGGAUAACUCCGGGAAACCGGGGCUAAUACCGGAUGAUCAUUUGGAUCGCAUGAUCCGAAUGUAAAAGUGGGGAUUUAUCCUCACACUGCAAGAUGGGCCCGCGGCGCAUUAGCUAGUUGGUAAGGUAAUGGCUUACCAAGGCGACGAUGCGUAGCCGACCUGAGAGGGUGAUCGGCCACACUGGAACUGAGACACGGUCCAGACUCCUACGGGAGGCAGCAGUAGGGAAUCAUCCGCAAUGGGCGAAAGCCUGACGGUGCAACGCCGCGUGAACGAUGAAGGUUUUCGGAUCGUAAAGUUCUGUUAUGAGGGAAGAACAAGUGCCGUUCGAAUAGGUCGGCACCUUGACGGUACCUCACGAGAAGCCCG
rnacentral:rRNA from 1 species